rnacentral:rRNA from 1 species
UACGUAGGGUGCAAGCGUUAAUCGGAAUUACUGGGCGUAAAGCGUGCGCAGGCGGCUUUGCAAGACAGAUGUGAAAUCCCCGGGCUUAACUGGGCGGGGUCAGCGGAUACGGUGUGGCUGGAGCAAGCUAGGGGGCAAUGGAAUUCCCGGUGUAGUGGUGGAAUGCGUAGAUAUCGGGAGGAACACCAGUGGCGAAGGCGGUUGCCUGGAGCUUUGCUGACGCUGAUGCGCGAAAGCGUGGGGAGCGAUCCGG